UUCGGGAAACCGGGGCUUAUUCCGGAUGCUUGAAUUAACCGCCUUGUUUCAAUCAUAAAAGGUGGCUUUUAGCUACCACUUACAGAUGGACCCGCGGCGCAUUAGCUAGUUGGUGAGGUAACGGCUCACCAAGGCGACGAUGCGUAGCCGACCUGAGAGGGUGAUCGGCCACACUGGGACUGAGACACGGCCCAGACUCCUACGGGAGGCAGCAGUAGGGAAUCUUCCGCAAUGGACGAAAGUCUGACGGAGCAACGCCGCGUGAGUGAUGAAGGUUUUCGGAUCGUAAAACUCUGUUGUUAGGGAAGAACAAGUACCGUUCGAAUAGGGCGGUACCUUGACGGUACCUAACCAGAAAGCCACGGCUAACUACGUGCCAGCAGCCGCGGUAAUACGUAGGUGGCAAGCGUUGUCCGGAAUUAUUGGGCGUAAAGCGCGCGCAGGCGGUUUCUUAAGUCUGAUGUGAAAGCCCCCGGCUCAACCGGGGAGGGUCAUUGGAAACUGGGGAACUUGAGUGCAGAAGAGGAGAGUGGAAUUCCACGUGUAGCGGUGAAAUGCGUAGAGAUGUGGAGGAACACCAGUGGCGAAGGCGACUCUCUGGUCUGUAACUGACGCUGAGGCGCGAAAGCGUGGGGAGCGAACAGGAUUAGAUACCCUGGUAGUCCACGCCGUAAACGAUGAGUGCUAAGUGUUAGAGGGUUUCCGCCCUUUAGUGCUGCAGCAAACGCAUUAAGCACUCCGCCUGGGGAGUACGGUCGCAAGACUGAAACUCAAAGGAAUUGACGGGGGCCCGCACAAGCGGUGGAGCAUGUGGUUUAAUUCGAAGCAACGCGAAGAACCUUACCAGGUCUUGACAUCCUCUGACAACCCUAGAGAUAGGGCUUCCCCUUCGGGGGCAGAGUGACAGGUGGUGCAUGGUUGUCGUCAGCUCGUGUCGUGAGAUGUUGGGUUAAGUCCCGCAACGAGCGCAACCCUUGAUCUUAGUUGCCAGCAUUCAGUUGGGCACUCUAAGGUGACUGCCGGUGACAAACCGGAGGAAGGUGGGGAUGACGUCAAAUCAUCAUGCCCCUUAUGACCUGGGCUACACACGUGCUACAAUGGGCAGAACAAAGGGCAGCGAAGCCGCGAGGCUAAGCCAAUCCCACAAAUCUGUUCUCAGUUCGGAUCGCAGUCUGCAACUCGACUGCGUGAA
rnacentral:rRNA from 1 species